AUGGGAGACAGUUGCCAGUAGCCACUAUGGCAGAGGGGGCUCCCUGGAAGAUGUCUGGCUUCUGUCCUUGUGACAAACCUCAUGCUACCCCUGGGGCUUUCUCCCAGGAAUUUCUAGAAGGAUUGUGCCCUAGGCAUGAAACAGCUUUGGCCACUCAGCCAGGCAUCAAGCGAGGAUGAACAAAGGACAGCGUCUGCUCUGCCUCUGACUGAUCUAAGAACAACAUCACCAACAAGGUGUCUCUUUGCCCAUUGCCAGGUGCAUGGAUAUUUUCACCCCCAUGUGUCACUGUGCCUAACACAUCUGAGUCUAGGGUUCCUAGUCCUGCCUGCAGGUG